AGGUGUUUAUUUUUAGUUGAGGAGGGUGAAAAGAGGCAAUAGAGUGAGAAGGGAUCCACUAAUCUCUUGGGUCAACCAAAUGUGCUGUGAAAUAUUAAAGUCAGCAGAAAAGAAGAAAUCUUCUAAGAUUGAGGAAGGUGCUUUGCAAGCUGGAUUGUUUUGUAGUGAGUGACAUACUGGAGAAGACACCUGAUGUCUCCGGAUGAGGUGGUCCCCCUGCCCAACUCCAGCGGUGGUGGUGAGGUCUCUGAAGGUGGUGAGCACGAGGCGUGAAGGUGGAAAAGCGCCUCACUCAGCCAACCACACUGCAACACCUGCCUACGCCAGAGGAACAGCUUCACCACCUUGGAGACCUGGAAUGAAACCCCUGCAGCUCCCUCCUUCUCCUGCUCUCCUGAAACUGCUCUUAGAGUUAUUGCUUCUUGUUUUCUACCUUUUUGUUUUGCUUAUUUUUAAUUCAGACUUGUAGACGAGCUUUGUUUUGCUUUGCAGCAAGUGAUGGCCGAAGCGUGGCGAAGUGCAGUGUGCUCACACAGACUGCACUUCUGGGGAGUAGGCCUGGUGGGGUUUGUCUGGGAGGGAUGGGAGUUUUCCUAGGACUCUGUAUGGGAAAAUAUCUACCAGCCUUGGAGUCUCAAUUGGCACACACACAAACAGGUCAGAUAACUUUUAAUCUUAUUUUAGGUUUUGUUAAUUUUAAAAUGUUCUUUCCUCAGGUAUCUGUAGUAUGUGACAUUGUGUAUGACUAUGUGUAUGUGUGAUAAUGCUUUAGCGUGCUUUCUUCAUGCUAAAUUCUCUCUGAAAUCCCAUUUCAAAGUGCCUAACUGUGAAUAAUGUGCCUAAUUUGUGAAUAAUGCAGUAAAAAAGAAAUUUCAGUAAUCAUUUUCAGCUGUGUGAGGUCAGAAUCCAAACGCAUGCAAAAUUAAAGAAUAUUUCCUGAGGGUGGGGGAAAAAUACCAAGUUCUCUGUAACAAUUAUAUUAACUUGCAAAUCCAUGUACCUCCAUACCUCCAUAAUUACAAGUCAAGGCAAAUAUGCCCUUUUUCCUUGAAAAGAAGAAAAAAGUACUAAUGUAAAAUGAUGUCUUUAACAGAGUUGCUUUAUAGUGGCUCUGUGUUAGACAUUAGAGGACAGCUAUAUUUGGGUAAAAUCUCCUUCUACCCAUCAAUGAUGAGAGAGUGGCUUGUGCACUGGUGCAUGAAAUAUCAUGAAUCUUUCAAAGCAAACAUUGGUUGCAUAUGAAAACAACCCCCUGCACAUGAGAAAUGAAGAUGGCCCAACUACAUAUAAUAAAGACAAAAGCAGAAAGCUCUGCAACCUGCUGAGAUAAAUAUUUUCCAGCCUGGGAAAUUCAUAAGUCUGGAAAUACUGUGAGGUCUAAGAAAGCCAAUUGAGGCAGUUACUAUAUGAAAAUUAUUUCUAAGGUACAGCGGCCACACUUCAUGCCUUUCUUCUGUUUCUUCUUUCUUCACCCAGUGUCUGAGAUAUAUUCUUGAUAAUUACCAUGGAGAGAGCCAUUGUGAUGGUGUUACUUUUGUAUUCUCUUUUUUUCUUUUUCUUUUUCUUUUUUGUUUUUGUUUUUGUUUUAAAGCCUUUGAAGUAGUGAUUGAUUUUUAUUUAUUUUUUUAAACCUUCAGUCACUGCCUGAAGUAGGUGGGAGGUAUGCGAGAGCAAAUCUCAGAUAAUGGGCCUAGAAAAAAUGAU